rnacentral:rRNA from 1 species
UACGAAGGUGGCAACCGUUGCUCGGAUUCACUGGGCAUAAAGCGCGCGUAGGUGGUUUGGCAGGUCACUGGUGAAAUCCCCCGGCUUAACCGGGGAACCGCCGGUGAAACCUCCAAGCUUGAGGCCGGGAGGGGAGAGUGGAACUCUUGGUGUAGCGGUGAAAUGCGUAGAUAUCAAGAGGAACGCCGGUGGCGAAAGCGACUCUCUGGACCGGUCCUGACACUGAUGCGCGAAAGCUAGGGGAGCAAACAGG